AAAAAGAAAAGAACAAUGAAGCAAGCUAAAAAAAAUCUUGAAAUAAAGAAGCUACAUAGUGUUGUUAGUGGUGUUAAAACAUGAGUGUUGAAAAAGGAAAAAUGUGCGCUUUGCGAUCUUGGGUAUGGUGAUUUGAUGAGAUUCUCAUGACUUUUACACUGGCAAUCCUAAUUUUGAUGGCCUUCUAGUGCGCCAAACGCCAGAUUCUAGUAUAUUAGCAGAUUUUAGUUUAGUGGUAGUGUCUUUGGUGGAUGGAAGUGUUCGCUGGAAGUGGAAA
rnacentral:misc_RNA from 1 species